GCUCUCGUAGCUCAGUUGGAAGAGUGCCGCACUCGUAAUGCGGAGGUCGCGGGUUCAAUCCCCGCCGGGAGCU
rnacentral:tRNA from 1 species